rnacentral:tRNA from 1 species
GCCAGCGUAGCUCAGUCGGUAGAGCAGCGCACUCGUAACGCGCAGGUCGUCGGUUCGAUUCCGACCGCUGGCU